rnacentral:rRNA from 1 species
GGAUGUGAUGGGGAGCGAAAUUUAGUAGCGAAGUAGCUGAUUUCACACUGUCAAGAAAAGUCUCUAUCGAGGUUAAAGGUACCCGUACCGCAAACCGACACAGGUGGGUGAGGAGAGUAUCCUAAGGCCAGCGAGAGAACUGUUGUUAAGGAACUCGGCAAAAUGACCCCGUAACUUAGGGAUAAGGGGUGCCACCAUCAGGUGGCCGCAGAGAAUAGGCCCAAGCGACUGUUUACCAAAAACAUAGGUUUCUGCUAAGUCGCAAGACGAUGUAUAGGAGCUGACGCCUGCCCGGUGCUGGAAGGUUAAGGGGAUCUGUUAGAGCAAUCGAAGCAGUGAACUUAAGCCCCAGUAAACGGCGGCCGUAACUAUAACGGUCCUAAGGUAGCGAAAUUCCUUGUCGGGUAAGUUCCGACCCGCACGAAAGGCGUAACGAUUUGGGCACUGUCUCAACAACAGACUCGGUGAAAUUGUAAUUCCGGUGAAGAUGCCGGAUACCUGCGACAGGACGGAAAGACCCCAUGGAGCUU